UCAAGAAACUUCCACAAUGGGCGAAAGCCUGAUGGAGCGACGUCGCGUGAUGGACGAAGUGCUUCGGCACGUAAACAUCUUUUAUGUGGGAUGAAAUUAUUGACAGUACCACAUGAAUAAGGGGCUCCUAACUCUGUGCCAGCAGGAGCGGUAAUACAGAGGCCCCAAGCGUUAUCCGGAAUCACUGGGCGUAAAGGGUGUCGAGGCGGUUGUAUUAGUCGUUCGUAAAAUCUACGAGCUUAACUUGUAGGCGGCGAACGAAACGGUACGACUUGAGGUUUGGAGAGGUGCGUGGAACUCACGGUGUAGGGGUGAAAUCCGUUGAUAUCGUGGGGAACACCAAAGGCGAAGGCAGCGCACUGGCCAAAAUCUGACGCUCACACACGAAAGCUAGGGUAGCGAAGAGGAUUAGAUACCCACGUAGUCCCUGAGCGGGCUGGCAAGGC
rnacentral:rRNA from 1 species